rnacentral:rRNA from 1 species
CCUACAUUAAGCUGGACAUACUAGUAAUCGCAGAUCCGAAUUCCGCGGUGAAGUCGUUCCCGGGUCUUGUACACACCGCCCGUCACACCACGGGAGUUGGAGACGCCCGAAGCCGAUUAUCUAACCUGUUGGAAGAAGUCGUCGAAGGUGGAAUCAAUAACUGGGGUGAAGUCGUAACAAGGUAGCCGUAUCGGAAGGUGCGGCUGGAUCACCUCCUUUCUAAGGAGA